rnacentral:misc_RNA from 1 species
UGGCUCUGGCAUCGAUGAAGAACGCAGCGAAAUGCGAUAAGUAAUGCGAAUUGCAGAAUUCAGUGAAUCAUCGAAUCUUUGAACGCACAUUGCGCCCGCUGGCACUCCAGCGGGCAUGCCUGUCCGAGCGUCAUUACAACCCUCGGGACCCCUCUAGGGGGGCCCCGGUGUUGGGGAUCAGAGGCCCUCGCGGCCCCUGCCCCCUAAAUCCAUUGGCGGUCGCGCCGUAGCUUCCCCUGCGUAGUACUUCACCUCGCACCGGAGAGCGGCACGGCCCGCCGUAAAACCCCCGACUUUUAUAGGUUGACCUCGGAUCAGGUAGGACUACCCGCUGA